UUGCAUGUAGUGGUCUUUGGGCUGUAGUUCCCUCUCUCUGCAGUAGGGAGUGUGAGCUAUUGACAGACAUGCUAUAGCAACCACAUGGAGAUAUCAGGGCCGCCAGUCUUUCAAGUACAGGCUGAGCUGGUAGUAUAACCGUCCAACACUU